AAAUCCCGUGGGCCUCUGCGAGAUGGUAUUUAUGUGUCCCGCGGUAAGCCUUCGGUCUCAUUUACCUACAGCUCUCGGGUUCGGACGCGCGCCAAAUGCUGAAGGAUCGCAAACAGGUCUCAUUGGAAUGUGGUUUAACUCAAAGGAGCUUACAAAUUGGAAGGAUGAGACAAGACUUAUUCCUGUGUGGAUCAAGUGUUCUCAUGCUGCAGCAUCUCCUCAUCAGUCCUGAGGAAUUCAACUGCCUCCCAGGGUGAAUACAGCUUGUUCCUCUUGGAAUGAUUUCCCUGGGGAGGGAGUCAGCACCCCAGCAAGCAGCAUGGUUCCUUCUUAUGAGGUUGUGCUCUUCCCUCGCCCACCCAUCACUGUCAGAUGAUUUGAAUUGAUAAUGCUGAUCCUCUGUGAGGUUAUCACAGGGUUAAUAGAGUCAUCUGUCUUACAAUGCCUCUUGAUCUGCUCAGGGUGACUCCUGCAAAGAGUCAAGAGGAGCAGCUUGUUGCUAUAAACUCCUGGAAAGCCUCCAGAGUUACAAGGUACUAUUGCCAGUUACUGUUGCUCAGAGGUACAGCUCCUUGUCUAGUGCCUGAGAAUACUUUUAGGGGAAAGGAGUAAGCCAUAUACCUGGUCAGCUCCAGUCUGAAGUUGAGAGGUCUAAAGAGAACAAAGCACACAUAAUGGAAUCCAAUGUGGAGGAUACAAAACUGAAAAAUCCUUGUACAGAUUACCUGUUCAAAUUAGCAUACAAUCAUUUCAGCCUUUCUAAAUAAAAAUUUUUUAAAACCUUCA